CAGUCGCCGCGGGAAUACAGAGGGUGUGAGCGUUAAUCGGAUUUACUGGGCGUAAAGCGUGCGUAGGCGGCUAAUUGAGUCGGAUGUGAAAUCCCCGAGCUUAACUUGGGAAUUGCAUUCGAUACUGGUUAGCUAGAGUGUGGGAGAGGAUGGUAGAAUUCCAGGUGUAGCGGUGAAAUGCGUAGAGAUCUGGAGGAAUACCGAUGGCGAAGGCAGCCAUCUGGCCUAACACUGACGCUGAGGUACGAAAGCAUGGGGAGCAAACAGGAUUAGAUACCCGGGUAGUCCCUGUCUCUUAUAC
rnacentral:rRNA from 1 species